UGAGUAACACGUGGGCAACCUGCCUGUAAGACUGGGAUAACUCCGGGAAACCGGAGCUAAUACCGGAUACUAUGUCAAACCGCAUGGUUUGACAUUCAAAGACGGUUUCGGCUGUCACUUACAGAUGGGCCCGCGGCGCAUUAGCUAGUUGGUGAGGUAAUGGCUCACCAAGGCGACGAUGCGUAGCCGACCUGAGAGGGUGAUCGGCCACACUGGGACUGAGACACGGCCCAGACUCCUACGGGAGGCAGCAGUAGGGAAUCUUCCGCAAUGGACGAAAGUCUGACGGAGCAACGCCGCGUGAGUGAUGAAGGUUUUCGGAUCGUAAAACUCUGUUGUCAGGGAAGAACAAGUGCCGGAGUAACUGCCGGCGCCUUGACGGUACCUGACCAGAAAGCCACGGCUAACUACGUGCCAGCAGCCGCGGUAAUACGUAGGUGGCAAGCGUUGUCCGGAAUUAUUGGGCGUAAAGCGCGCGCAGGCGGUUUCUUAAGUCUGAUGUGAAAGCCCCCGGCUCAACCGGGGAGGGUCAUUGGAAACUGGGAAACUUGAGUGCAGAAGAGGAGAGUGG
rnacentral:rRNA from 1 species